CUACGGGGCGCUGCAGUGGGGAAUAUUACACAAUGGGCGCAAGCCUGAUGCAGCCAUGCCGCGUGUAUGAAGAAGGCCUUCGGGUUGUAAAGUACUUUCAGCGGGGAGGAAGGGAGUAAAGUUAAUACCUUUGCUCAUUGACGUUACCCGCAGAAGAAGCACCGGCUAACUCCGUGCCAGCAGCCGCGGUAAUACGGAGGGUGCAAGCGUUAAUCGGAAUUACUGGGCGUAAAGCGCACGCAGGCGGUUUGUUAAGUCAGAUGUGAAAUCCCCGGGCUCAACCUGGGAACUGCAUCUGAUACUGGCAAGCUUGAGUCUCGUAGAGGGGGGUAGAAUUCCAGGUGUAGCGGUGAAAUGCGUAGAGAUCUGGAGGAAUACCGGUGGCGAAGGCGGCCCCCUGGACGAAGACUGACGCUCAGGUGCGAAAGCGUGGGGAGCAAAUAGGAUUAGAUACCCGUGUAGUC
rnacentral:rRNA from 1 species